UACGUAGGGUGCAAGCGUUGUCCGGAAUUACUGGGCGUAAAGGGCCAGUAGGCGGCCAACUAAGUCCGACGUGAAAUCCCCAGGCUUAACCUGGGAACUGCGUCGGAUACUGGAUGGCUUGAAUUCGGGAGAGGGAUGCGGAAUUCCAGGUGUAGCGGUGAAAUGCGUAGAUAUCUGGAGGAACACCGGUGGCGAAGGCGGCAUCCUGGACCGGCAUUGACGCUGAGGCGCGAAAGCCAGGGGAGCAAACGGG
rnacentral:rRNA from 1 species